rnacentral:lncRNA from 1 species
CCACCCAAUGAAAAUCACACCUCAACCUCUGCAAGUGGUCAAACCCCCUAUAUUAGAAACAAAAAAGGCAAAAUAUUAGAUAUAAUAAAAGGAAGACGAAGAAGAAAGUGAGCUUGGCUUUGAAGAUCGCCCAUCCUCCACCACUCUUGAUGCCGACUCUCCACUCCCCGGCUCAGUUGCCGGCUUACCUCUUUCUUGGUCCCAUCUCUCCCCUUUGUUUUUUUCCUCCCUUUUUU